rnacentral:rRNA from 1 species
UCGAGAAUUUUUGACAAUGGGGGAAACCCUGAUCGAGCGACGCCGCGUGGAGGAUGAAGGUCUUCGGGUUGUAAACUCCUGUCAUUUGGGAACAAGGCGCGUGUAUUAACUGUGCACGCGUUGAUAGUACCAGAAGAGGAAGGGACGGCUAACUCUGUGCCAGCAGCCGCGGUAAUACAGAGGUCCCAAGCGUUGUUCGGAUUCAUUGGGCGUAAAGGGUGUGUAGGUGGCGCCGUAAGUCGGGUGUGAAAUUUCGGAGCUUAACUCCGAAACUGCAUUCGAUACUGCGGUGCUUGAGGACUGGAGAGGAGACUGGAAUUUACGGUGUAGCAGUGAAAUGCGUAGAUAUCGUAAGGAAGACCAGUGGCGAAGGCGGGUCUCUGGACAGUUCCUGACACUGAGACACGAAGGCCAGGGGAGCAAACGG